UUGCGCAUGCGGGAAACCCACGCUGAGGGAAGAAUCAUGGGAAAGAGUAGAGACGGGGUUCCACCGUGUUAGCCAGGAUGGUCUCGAUUUCCUGACCUCGUCAUCCUCCCGCCUUGGCCUCCCAAAGUGCUGGGAUUACAGGCUUGAGCCACCGCGCCCCGCUCUUUCGUGUUCCAAAGGCUUUUUAAAUAAACUUCCACUCCUGUCCUGGAUUCUGCUUUAUGGCCCUCAGUCGAAUUCUUUCUUCUGAGGAGGCAAGGACUGAAGUUGCUUCUGACCAGUACAGAUUGGGAAGGAGAAAGUCACUUGACUCACAGGCCAACUGCUAUGGACUGAAUUGUGUCUUCCCCUCAUUAAUAUGUUGAAACCCUAUCCUCCCUCCAAUGUGAUGGUAUUUGCAGAUGGGGCUUUUGGGAAGUAAUGAAGUUUAGAUGAGGCAUGAGGGCUGGAUGGAUAUGAUCAGAUGAGUGCCCAAAGAAGAGACACCAGAGAGCUAGCUUCUUCUUUCUCUUUCCACCUUUACACACUGAGAAAAGGCCAAGUGAGCACACACCAAGAAGGCAGCCAUCUGCAAACCCAAGGAGAGAGUCCUCACUAGACACCCUGCUGGUACCUUGAUCUUGGACUUCUAGCCUCCAGAACUGUGAGAAAUAAAUUCCUGUUGUUCAAGCUAGUAUUAAUACCUGGUGUUUUGUUAUGGCAGCCUAAGUGACUAAGACACCAACUUAAUUUACUUAGCCAGGGUCAAUCAGUGGUAGGGCCCAGGAUUCUGACCCAGUUCUGCCUAACUCCACAAUUCAUGCUUUUUCUGGAUAUAAACAUCUGCCUUCCCAGUUUCCCUGACUCUUAGAGCCGUGGAGCAGUGUGUGUCAUGUGCUGCACACCCAGGCUGGAACAGCCUGUCUCCAGGUAGGUCUCUGCAUAGUGUGUGACUCCAUGGGGACCUCUAUGCGGCCCCAGUCUUGUGAGCUGAUAAAAUUUAUAUUGGUAGCUUGGCAAAUUUAACGCCUACCUCCAACAACUCUUCAGGAAUGUGGGACUCUCUAAAGGGAUUCAUUUGCAGAGACAGAAGCCUUGGUGUGGGAUGUGUUACUGUACAGUUUGUACAGUU
rnacentral:lncRNA from 1 species